GACGAACGCUGGCAGCGUGCUUAACACAUGCAAGUCGUACGGUAAGGCCCUUUCGGGGGUACACGAGUGGCGAACGGGUGAGUAACACGUGAGUAACCUGCCCACAACUUUGGGAUAACGCUAGGAAACUGGUGCUAAUACUGGAUAUGUGCUCCUGCUGCAUGGUGGGGGUUGGAAAGCUCCGGCGGUUGUGGAUGGACUCGCGGCCUAUCAGCUUGUUGGUGGGGUAGUGGCCUACCAAGGCGGCGACGGGUAGCCGGCCUGAGAGGGUGACCGGCCACAUUGGGACUGAGAUACGGCCCAGACUCCUACGGGAGGCAGCAGUGGGGAAUAUUGCACAAUGGGCGCAAGCCUGAUGCAGCAACGCCGCGUGCGGGAUGACGGCCUUCGGGUUGGAAACCGCUUUCAGCAGGGACGAAGCUUUUUGUGACGGUACCUGCAGAAGAAGCACCGGCUAACUACGUG
rnacentral:rRNA from 1 species